rnacentral:rRNA from 1 species
AGUGAACGCUGGCGGUAGGCCUAACACAUGCAAGUCGAACGGCAGCACAGAAGAGCUUGCUCUCUGGGUGGCGAGUGGCGGACGGGUGAGGAAUACAUCGGAAUCUACUCUGUCGUGGGGGAUAACGUGGGGAAACUUACGCUAAUACCGCAUACGACCUACGGGUGAAAGCAGGGGAUCUUCGGACCUUGCGCGAUUGAAUGAGCCGAUGUCGGAUUAGCUAGUUGGCGGGGUAAAGGCCCACCAAGGCGACGAUCCGUAGCUGGUCUGAGAGGAUGAGCAGCCACACUGGAACUGAGACACGGUCCAGACUCCUACGGGAGGCAGCAGUGGGGAAUAUUGGACAAUGGGCGCAAGCCUGAUCCAGCCAUACCGCGUGGGUGAAGAAGGCCUUCGGGUUGUAAAGCCCUUUUGUUGGGAAAGAAAUCCAGCUGGCUAAUACCCGGUUGGGAUGACGGUACCCAAAGAAUAAGCACCGGCUAACUUCGUGCCAGCCGCCGCCGUAA